GAAAGACACAGGGAUCGCUCAACAACAGAGAAAUGGAUGAGAUCGCAAACUGGACGAGAGGGAAGGAUGUGGCUGUAGAGGAUUUGAAAAACACAGGUAACUUUAGACACCUUCUGGCAACUGAAUUGGCAGAGUCUUCCUAUAAAUGCUCUUCCUAAGCACCCUUUAUAAAAAACAGUAAACAAUCAUGGGCCUGAUGAUUUGCUUCACUAUGAAAAGAAUAUGAUCCAUGGCAAAAUUUAGAACAGAAAAAUUAUAAAAUGUACAGAAAAGAGAUAUAGACCAAGGGUUCUACAAAUGUGCUCCAGAAACACAAGACAUAUUCUGAGACUCACAAGAAAAGUGUAGCCUUCACUCCUCAUCAAGUAAAUUUCUCUUUGCAUCAGAUGGAGACCACUACAGAAAACCACAACCAAUCAAAAUGCAAAUUGUAGAGCCCAGUCCCAGUGGAUACAUCUACAAAGCAACACCUGACCCUAAGGCUGAGAGAACACUGUGAAAGACUGUGUGGGAUGACAGUAAGAACCAGAGGACCAGGAAGUCUGUUGUGAGGUUGUGUCUCCUAGUCACACCAGCAGCUGUACCUGUAAAA